UACGUAGGUGGCAAGCGUUGUCCGGAAUUAUUGGGCGUAAAGCGCGCGCAGGCGGUCCUUUAAGUCUGAUGUGAAAUCCCAAGGCUCAACCGUGGAAGGUCAUUGGAAACUGGGGGACUUGAGUACAGAAGAGGAAAGUGGAAUUCCAAGUGUAGCGGUGAAAUGCGUAGAGAUUUGGAGGAACACCAGUGGCGAAGGCGACUUUCUGGUCUGUAACUGACGCUGAGGCGCGAAAGCGUGGGGAGCGAACAGG
rnacentral:rRNA from 1 species